ACCACAUCAUCCGAAGUGCAUGUUUAAUUUUUCCAUUUUUCUUCCUUUCUUUAUUUAGUUUCGUUUUGAGUUUCAGCACCAUUCAUUGUGCUCUGUUUGCCUUCUAUUUAUUCAGCAGGAGUUUCGGCAUUGAGAAACCACACUAGAAGGUAAUUUUUCCAUCUUUCCUGCCAUUGAUGUGUAAAUAAGGUAGUUGUGGUGGUUUUCCAUCUUCCUUGCUUUUGAAAGUUCUGUCGGUUCUGGAGGAAUUGGACCUUGACACGUGUAUACCGUUUGGCGA